GUGUAGUCUUGUGUUUUAAUGAUUUCUAUUGUGUGAUUCUAAAAUGUUUCAGUGUAAUCUCCUUUUUAUAUUGUCACGGUCCAGAGUAAAUGGUCCAGAGUAAAUAUCCGGUUUUGUAAAUAAGCGUAAUAGGAUUACAGUAACAAUGGAGUAAUGUUUCUUUAGUUAAGUAGUUAAUACUAUACGUGUAGAAUGUUAUAGAUUUCCUUAGAGGGGCGAGCACACAUACUUUAAGUUUGGGGUGAGCAGUCACGCGUGUGUUAAACUCGUUAAUCGGUUGGAACUUUUCUUCGUACGCCACACAAACACCUGUUUUGCAGACAUGAACAGAAUAUUGGAAUUCGCAGAGUUUGGAGAAUGCUGAUAAUUCAGGAUUCGCUUUAUAAGGAAGGAUUGCGGCCAUCCUCGUCCCUCACAUUUUUAAUUCUUCAGUUUCGGGGCGGAGGUCUGCAGAGUAGCAGAGUUGAGUGGGCGGAGAAUUCCCUCUGAGUAUGCCCACGUUGGAGCGGCGUUUUUAAUUGCCGAACUGUGAUGUUCGACAUGUGUUAGUUUCGCCGUUCCUGGACGGAUCAAUCCGUGAAGCCUCCAGUAAAGUUAGUCGCUGCCGAAACCAUGCAGUAGGCUGCGGUGGCUCUUCAAUGACGGGGAGUUUGCACGUCGACGAGGCGGAGCUGUGACUUCCCGAGAGCGUCGAACUUUACGACACACAGACUCGUGACUUGCGUACUGUGUGAGUUUUCUUUUCCUCCGAGCUGCGGUUGUCGGACUUUGUUGUACCGGUUGCGUUAAGCAACGACGGUACGAAAGCAGAGAGCACCGAGGGGGCCGACCAUUUUUCCACACCGGGUUUCAUCACAUCGCGUACCUUGGAAGGACAACAAUCUACGGGGACAUUUUCAUCAGAAUAGGCGAACACUGGUCUUCAGCUCUCUCCGAGAGAGUCGAGGUAUUUCAGAGGCUGUUGGGUCUUCAACCCUAUUUUGCCUAUAGCUGCUCGCCCCCCCCCCCGUUUAUAUCCAAUUCAUGUAACAACUGGUUAACUGCCUUUUUGUAUUGCCUUAUUUUUGUUUAAGUAAUGGUUUAUAUUAAAUUUAAUUGAACAUACUUGCUGUUUCAUAUUAUACUGGUCUGUUUGACUACUUUUGUUACCCU